GAGAGGGCACAAACAAGAGGCAAAGGGGAAGCAGGCUUCCUGCUGAGCAGACAGCACCAUGUGGGACAGGAUCCCAGGAACAUAGAUCAUGACCUGAGCUGAAAUCAGGUACUUUAACCCACUGAGCUACCAAG